UGAGGAAUAUUGGUCAAUGGGCGCAAGCCUGAACCAGCCAUCCCGCGUGCAGGAAGACGGCCCUAUGGGUUGUAAACUGCUUUUCCAGGGGGAGAAUUUUUCUGUCGUGACAGGAAUUGACGGUACCCUGGGAAUAAGCAUCGGCUAACUCCGUGCCAGCAGCCGCGGUAAUACGGAGGAUGCGAGCGUUAUCCGGAUCUAUUGGGUUUAAAGGGUGCGUAGGCGGAUUGAUAAGUCAGUGGUGAAAACCUGCAGCUUAACUGUAGACUUGCCGUUGAUACUGUCAGUCUUGAGUAUGGUCAAGGUAGGCGGAAUGUGUAAUGUAGCGGUGAAAUGCUUAGAUAUUACACAGAACACCGAUUGCGAAGGCAGCUUACUGGGCCAUUACUGACGCUGAUGCACGAAAGCGUGGGGAUCGAACAGG
rnacentral:rRNA from 1 species